rnacentral:rRNA from 1 species
GACGAACGCUGGCGGCGUGCUUAACACAUGCAAGUCGAACGAUGAAGCGGGUGCUUGCCCUCGUGGAUUAGUGGCGAACGGGCGAGUAACACGUGAGUAACCUGUCCUUUUCUUUGGGAUAACGGCUGGAAACGGCUGCUAAUACUGGAUAUUCAGGCUGCAUCGCAUGGUGUGGUUUGGAAAGGUUUUUUCUGGGAUUGGGUGGGCUCGCGGCCUAUCAGCUUGUUGGUGGGGUGAUGGCUUACCAAGGCUUUGACGGGUAGCCGGCCUGAGAGGGUGGGCGGCGCCGUGGGGACGGAGUGACGGCCAAGACUCGUCGGGGGGGCGGAGGGGGGGAAGAUGGACGAAGGGACGAAGGUUUGAGCCGCCCCCGCGGGGGGGGGGGUGUGGGCUUUGGGGUUGUAAAUUCUUUUGCCUGGAAAAAAAGCCAUUUUUGGGGUUGUGUGGUGGGGGGGGGGGAAAGAGGCGCCGCCUACCUACGUC